rnacentral:lncRNA from 1 species
CUCUUUCUGUUCCCAGCACAGCCAUCGUUUGUGGUCCCAAGAGACAUCUGAAGUGCGUAUCCGCUCCAAAACAUUUGAUGUUGGAUAAUUUGACUGCCGCGUUUGCUCCUCGUCCAUCCAUUGGUCCACACGAGCUGAGGGAAUGCCUGCCUCUGAUCAGUUCCCUAAGGAACAGACUCAAGUAUCCCCUGACUGGAGAUGAAGUAAAAAAGUUUUGCAUGCAGAGAUUCAUUAAGAUUGAUGGGAAAGUCAGAACCGAUAUAACCUACCCUGCUGGGUUUAUGGUUGUCAUCAGAAUUGACAAGACUGGAGAGAACUUCCAUCUCAUCUGUGACACAAAGGGUCGCUUUGCUGUUCAUCAAACUACACCUGAGGAGGACACAUACAAGUUGUGCAAAGUGAAAAGAUCUUUGUGGGCACAAAAGGAAUUCCACAUCUGGUAACCCAUGAUGCUUGUACUUUUGAUACCAUAAUCCCCUCAUCAAGGUGAAUGACACCAUUCAGAUUGAUUUGGAAACAGGCAAAAUAAUUGACUUCAUCAAGUUCGACACUGGGAACCUGUGUAUGGUAGCUGGAGGUACUUACUUGGGGAGAAGUGGUAAUCACCAAUAUAGAGAUGCAUCCCGGCUCUUUUGAUGUGGUUUGUAUGAAAGACACCAAUGGCAGCAGCUUUACCACUCGGCUCUCCAACAUUUUUAUUAUUGGCAAGGGUAACAAACCAUGGGUCUCUCUUCCCCAAGGAAAAGGAAUUCGCCUCACCAUUGCUGAAGAGAGACAAGAGGCUAGCGGCCAAACAGAGCAGUGGGUGAAAUGGUUUCUAGGAGACAUGCUGGAGAAGUAUUUGUACUCUAGCUACUACAAGCCUUUCUAGGCAACAUGCUAGAUUAAACAGCAUGAUGAAACAUGUGUGUGUGUGUGUGUGUGUGUGUGUGUGUGUGCAUUUCAGAAGUACAUUGGAUUUCUAAAGUGAGCAUGCACAUUUAAUAUAACAAAACUGUUGAUAAUGAGCAGGGUAUUAUAUCUCACUAGCACAUUUAUAUAGUAUGUUAUACUUUGUAGCAUUAAGAUUAUAAACCUAUUUACAGUGUGGAACAUGCAUCUGAUAUGUACUCUUCUGUUUAUAGUAAUAAAAUAGUUGUAGAUGAGGGUAUUAUAUUUUCAUUAUAGAAAUAUUUUUAAGUGCUGUUAAUAUGCUUUGUAUAAUGUCAAACUAUAGCUGAAAAACUGAUUUUAAAAGACAACAUAUUUCCUGUAUAGAAAACAAAAUUAAAAUCACUAUAAAACCAA